rnacentral:rRNA from 1 species
AUUGAACGCUGGCGGCAUGCCUUACACAUGCAAGUCGAACGGUAACAGGUCUUCGGAUGCUGACGAGUGGCGAACGGGUGAGUAAUACAUCGGAACGUGCCUAGUAGUGGGGGAUAACUACUCGAAAGAGUGGCUAAUACCGCAUGAGAUCUACGGAUGAAAGCAGGGGAUCGCAAGACCUUGUGCUACUAGAGCGGCUGAUGGCAGAUUAGGUAGUUGGUGGGAUAAAAGCUUACCAAGCCGACGAUCUGUAGCUGGUCUGAGAGGACGAUCAGCCACACUGGGACUGAGACACGGCCCAGACUCCUACGGGAGGCAGCAGUGGGGAAUUUUGGACAAUGGGCGAAAGCCUGAUCCAGCAAUGCCGCGUGCAGGAUGAAGGCCUUCGGGUUGUAAACUGCUUUUGUACGGAACGAAAAGCUUCGGGUUAAUACCCUGGAGCCAUGACGGUACCGUAAGAAUAAGCACCGGCUAACUACGUG